rnacentral:rRNA from 1 species
UACGAAGGGGGCUAGCGUUGUUCGGAAUUACUGGGCGUAAAGCGCACGUAGGCGGACUAUUAAGUCAGGGGUGAAAUCCCGGGGCUCAACCCCGGAACUGCCUUUGAUACUGGUAGUCUCGAGUCCGGAAGAGGUGAGUGGAAUUCCGAGUGUAGAGGUGAAAUUCGUAGAGAUCCGGAGGAACACCAGCGGCGAAGGCGGCAUCCUGGACUGGUCCUGACACUCAUGAGCGAAAGCGUGGGGAGCGAUCCGG